CUACCAUGCAAGUCGAGGGGCAGCACGAUAAAGCUUGCUUUAUUGGUGGCGACCGGCGCACGGGUGCGUAACGCGUAUGCAACCUACCCUGUACUGGGGGAUAACCCGGAGAAAUUCGGACUAAUACCCCAUAGUAAUAUACUUUCGCAUGUUAGUAUAUUUAAAGGUUACGGUACAGGAUGGGCAUGCGUCCUAUUAGUUAGAUGGUGAGGUAACGGCUCACCAUGGCGAUGAUAGGUAGGGGGCCUGAGAGGGUGGUCCCCCACACUGGUACUGAGACACGGACCAGACUCCUACGGGAGGCAGCAGUGAGGAGUAUUGGUCAAUGGGCGCAAGCCUGAACCAGCCAUGCCGCGUGCAGGAAGAAUGCCCUAUGGGUUGUAAACUGCUUUUAUUUGGGAAUAAACCCAGGGUCGUGCACCCUGGCUGAAGGUACCAAAUGAAUAAGCACCGGCUAACUCCGUGCCAGCAGCCGCGGUAAUACGGAGGGUGCAAGCGUUAUCCGGAAUCAUUGGGUUUAAAGGGUCCGCAGGCGGGCUUAUAAGUCAGUGGUGAAAGCCUACAGCUCAACUGUAGAACUGCCAUUGAUACUGUAAGUCUUGAAUUCGGUCGAAGUGGGCGGAAUAUGACAUGUAGCGGUGAAAUGCUUAGAUAUGUCAUAGAACACCGAUAGCGAAGGCAGCUCACUAGGCCUGGAUUGACGCUCAGGGACGAAAGCGUGGGGAUCAAACAGGAUUAGAUACCCUGGUAGUCCACGCCGUAAACUAUGAUUACUCGUUUUCGGCACUUAAGUGUGUCGGAGACCAAGCGAAAGUGAUAAGUAAUCCACCUGGGGAGUACGAUCGCAAGGUUGAAACUCAAAGGAAUUGACGGGGGCCCGCACAAGCGGUGGAGCAUGUGGUUUAAUUCGAUGAUACGCGAGGAACCUUACCAGGGCUUAAAUGCAGAACGCAUAAUUGG
rnacentral:rRNA from 1 species